GGCUGAAAUUCGCCUUCAUGAAGCUGGAAUUGCUAGUAAUGGCAGGUCAGCAUACUGCCGUGAAUACGUUCCCGGGCCUUGUACACACCGCCCGUCACACCAUGAGAGUUGGAAAUACCCGAAGCCUGUGAGCUAACUUAAAGAGGCAGCAGUCGAAGGUAGAGCCAAUGAUUGGGGUGAAGUCGUAACAAGGUAUC
rnacentral:rRNA from 1 species